rnacentral:rRNA from 1 species
AAUAGCAAUAUUACCAUGAGAGUGGCGCACGGGUGCGUAACACGUAUGCAAUCUGCCCCUAACUGGAAGAUAGCCCGGCGAAAGUCGGAUUAAUAUUCCAUAACAUUGCGAAACGGCAUCGUUUUGUAAUUAAAGCUCCGGCGGUUAGGGAUGAGCAUGCGCGACAUUAGCUAGAUGGCGAGGUAACGGCUCACCAUGGCUACGAUGUCUAGGGGGUCUGAGAGGAUUAUCCCCCACACUGGUACUGAGACACGGACCAGACUCCUACGGGAGGCAGCAGUAGGGAAUAUUGGGCAAUGGACGCAAGUCUGACCCAGCCAUGCCGCGUGCAGGAUGACGGCCCUAUGGGUUGUAAACUGCUUUUGUACAGGAAGAAACCCCUUUACGUGUAGAGGGCUGACAUUACUGUAAGAAUAAGGAUCGGCUAACUCCGUGCCAGCAGCCGCGGUAAUACGGAGGAUCCAAGCGUUGUCCGGAUUUAUUGGGUUUAAAGGGUGCGUAGGCGGACCAUUAAGUCAGAGGUGAAAGUUUGCAGCUUAACUGUAAAAUUGCCUUUGAAACUGGUGGUCUUGAGUACAGUUGAGGUGGGCGGAAUGUGUCAUGUAGCGGUGAAAUGCUUAGAUAUGAUACAGAACACCGAUUGCGAAGGCAGCUCACUAAACUGUAACUGACGCUGAGGCACGAAAGCGUGGGGAGCGAACAGGAUUAGAUACCCUGGUAGUCCACGCCCUAAACGUUGAAUACUCGUUGUUGGCGAUAUACAGUCAGCGACUAAGCGAAAGCAUUAAGUAUUCCACCUGGGGAGUACGACCGCAAGGUUGAAACUCAAAGGAAUUGACGGGGGCCCGCACAAGCGGAGGAGUAUGUGGUUUAAUUCGAUGAUACGCGAGGAACCUUACCUGGGCUUGAAAGUUAGCGACCGCUGCCGAAAGGUGGCUUUCCUUCGGGGCGCGAAACUAGGUGCUGCAUGGCUGUCGUCAGCUC